rnacentral:rRNA from 1 species
AGGACGAACGCUGGCGGCGUGCUUAACACAUGCAAGUCGAACGAUGAAGCCUAGCUUGCUAGGUGGAUUAGUGGCGAACGGGUGAGUAAUACGUGAGUGACCUACCUUUGACUCUGGGAUAAGCCUGGGAAACUGGGUCUAAUACCGGAUACGACCAAUCUCCGCAUGGGGUGUUGGUGGAAAGCGUUAUGGAGUGGUUUUAGAUGGGCUCACGGCCUAUCAGCUUGUUGGUGAGGUAAUGGCUUACCAAGGCGACGACGGGUAGCCGGCCUGAGAGGGUGACCGGCCACACUGGGACUGAGACACGGCCCAGACUCCUACGGGAGCAGCAGUGGGGAAUAUGCACAAUGGGCGCAAGCCUGAUGCAGCGACGCCGCGUGAGGGAUGGACGGCCUUCGGGUUGUAAACCUCUGUUAGCAUCGAAGAAGACGAAAGUGACGGUAGGUGACAGAGAAAGCGUACCGGACUAACUACGUGCCGAGCAGCCGC